rnacentral:rRNA from 1 species
CAAUAGCGUAUAUUAAAGCUGUUGCGGUUAAAGAGCUCGUAGUUGGAUUUCUGUCAAGGACAACUGGUCCGCCCUCCGGGUGAGCACAUAGUUUGGUCUUGACAUCUUGCUGGAAGCUGUUGCUGCACUUGGCUGUGUGGCGCAGUGUUCAGCACUUUCACUUUGAGGAAAUUGGAGUGUUUCAAGCAGGCACAUGCCUUUGGACACAGUAGCAUGGAAUAAUUAGAUUGGGCUUUUGCUCCAAUUUGUCGGUUUCUGGAGCUGAGGUGAGUAUUAAUGGGGAUUGUUGGGGGCAUCCGAAUUUAGCCGUCAGAGGUGAAAUUCUUGGAUCUGCUAAAGACGGACAACUGCGAAAGCGUUUGCCCAGGAUGUUUUCAUUGA